rnacentral:rRNA from 1 species
CAGUCGCCGCGGUAAUACGUAUGUCACGAGCGUUAUCCGGAUUUAUUGGGCGUAAAGCGCGUCAAGGUGGUUAUAUAAGUCUGAUGUGAAAAUGCAGGGCUCAACUCUGUAUUGCGUUGGAAACUGUAUAACUAGAGUACUGGAGAGGUAAGCGGAACUACAAGUGUAGAGGUGAAAUUCGUAGAUAUUUGUAGGAAUGCCGAUGGGGAAGCCAGCUUACUGGACAGAUACUGACGCUGAAGCGCGAAAGCGUGGGUAGCAAACAGGUUUAGAUACCCCCGUAGUCCCUGUCUCUUAUACA